rnacentral:misc_RNA from 1 species
UACGGAGGGCGCGAGCGUUGUUCGGAAUUAUUGGGCGUAAAGCGCACGUAGGCGGCUCGGUAAGUCUGCCGGGGAAAUCCCGGGGCUCAACCCCGGGAGGCCAGGGGAUACUGUCGAGCUGGAGACAAGCAGAGGUGGGUAGAAUUCCGGGUGUAGCGGUGGAAUGCGUAGAGAUCCGGAGGAAUACCAGAGGCGAAGACGGCCCACUGGGCUUGAUCUGACGCUGAGGUGCGAAAGCGUGGGGAGCGAACAGG